rnacentral:rRNA from 1 species
CCCUUAGAUGUUCUGGGCCGCACGCGCGCUACAAUGAAACGUUCAACAAGUUUUCUGUGGCCAGAGAUGGCUCCGGAUCUGCUUCGUCGAAAGGCGUGGCGAAUCUUUUAAACGCGUUUCGUGCUGGGGCUUGACAUUUGCAAUUAUUUGUCAUAAACGAGGAAUUCCUAGUAAACGCGACUCAUCAGGCCGCAUUGAUUACGUCCCUGCCCUUUGUACACACCGCCCGUCGCACCUACCGAUUGAAUGUUUCGGUGAAGAUUCCGGAUAGGACUGAUUUGAUUUAUUUCAUUUCUGACCUAAAAGCUAUCUAAACCUCAACAUUUAGAGGAAGGUGAAGUCGUAACA